GCGCGAAAACUUUACAAUGCGGGAAACCGUGAUAAGGGAACUCCGAGUGUCCGUAAAUGCGGACUGUCCGUAUGUUUAAAAAGCAUGCGAAGAAAGGGCCGGGCAAGACCGGUGCCAGCCGCCGCGGUAAUACCGGCGGCUCGAGUGGUGGCCACUAUUACUGGGCUUAAAGCGUUCGUAGCUGGUCUGUUAAGUCUCUGGGGAAAUCUACUGGCUUAACCAAUAGACGUUUCAGGGAUACUGGCAGACUAGGGACCGGGAGAGGUGAGAGGUACUCCAGGGGUAGGAGUGAAAUCCUGUAAUCCUUGGGGGACCACCUGUGGCGAAGGCGUCUCACCAGAACGGCUCCGACAGUGAGGGACGAAAGCUGGGGGAGCAAACCGGAUUAGAUACCCGGGUAGUCCCAGCCGUAAACGAUGCGCGUUAGGUGUAUCGGUGACCACGAGUCACCGAGGUGCCGAAG
rnacentral:rRNA from 1 species